ensembl:ncRNA asRNA:CR43971 antisense RNA:CR43971
AGCUCGUCCCACAUCUGCUCGAGGAAGGCCUUGUUGCAGUGGAAAUUGCGGUUCCAGAUGGCCGGGCGCUCCUCGAUGUCGUGAAUAAACUGCUCCACAUUGAGCACAAUGGUGGACUUUUUUGGCGCCAUCUUAGCGCUCUCAAAGUGAUUGACUAACGGUGAAUUGCAAUUGCAUGCUCCAACGGCACACACACGCACUCACGCACACCACUAUACAAACUCACUGAGAGAAAUGAGAGGAACGAAGAGCAUUAGUCGGCUUCUUGACCACUCACUAAAGCCAUCCCGCUCCCACCCACCCACGAGUUAGUUGCGAUCCCCGACCAUCAAUGAGCAGCCAGUACUCUCCAAACUGUUAACACAAUAACUUCAUUAAGAUUCCUUCCUUGGGCUUAGGCCCAAAAUCGAGCUGGGCGACAGGAAAUGCCGCACUGCUCGCUCUGCUCCCCAUCGUCCAUCUUCUCCCUCCCUCGCAUUCUGCUCCCCAGCCAGAAGCAAAUGAAGAAGAGGACGCGGCAGGAAAGAAGCAGCGAAAUCAAAUUAUAAACACGCCAGGGCGGAGGAGAGGGCACGGGCAGACAGGAACAGACGGCGAUGAGCGACGACCGAGAGACCAACCAGCCAACGGUUACUCCACGAGCCUGCCUGCCAGCCACUCUGCCCCGCUGCACCCCGCUCCCACUACCGAUAACGCUGCCGGUUCCGCUGACUCUGUCUCUCCCUGCUCACCGCCCGCCCUCAAUGCACUGGAUACACUUGGGAAAACAGGUCAAUGAUUUAGGUAUUUCAUUUCAGAAAUCGUCAUUUUCAAAAUUACUUUAUAACUUAAGAAUAACAU